rnacentral:rRNA from 1 species
CUACCCGCUGAACUUAAGCAUAUCAAUAAGCGGAGGGAA